rnacentral:rRNA from 1 species
UACGUAGGGUCCGAGCGUUGUCCGGAAUUAUUGGGCGUAAAGAGCUCGUAGGCGGUCUGUUGCGUCCGCUGUGAAAACUCGGGGCUUAACCCCGAGCCUGCAGUGGAUACGGGCAGACUAGAGGUAGGUAGGGGAGAAUGGAAUUCCCGGUGUAGCGGUGAAAUGCGCAGAUAUCGGGAAGAACACCAAUGGCGAAAGCAGCUCUCUGGGACGGUACUGACGCUGAGACGCGAAAGCGUGGGGAGCGAACAGG